CAGAGAAAGUUGGAAGUAAAUCUUGCGAAGUUAUCGUAACAGAGUUGUUUGACAAAGGCUAGUUGCCCACUGCAAUCCAGAUAAUUCUUAUGAGGUAUUGAUUGCACCAACGAUGCGAUGGUUUAUCCCUUUUCUGAAGCAAUUUCGGGAGAAGAGCCCCAAUGUGUUCAACAUGUGACUGUGAGCAAGGAAACGUGAUGGACAAUGAACAUGAUGAAGUUUAUGACAAACCCAGAUGAAAAUUUAUCAUAUAUCGUGUGAAUAUUUCAGCAAAAAUAUUAUGCUUCAAGUUGUAAAAGCCGUUUCCCAAGGAACCAUCAGAUCAUCAGUACACUAUCAUGACUCAGAGGGCCAAUGACAGUAAACACUUCAGUAAGUCCACCAGGGGAUUGAUGGCAAAAAAAGAAUAUUUUGAAGAAUGAUUUAGAUAUGCUGGCCUCCUCUUUGGACCUAAAUCCAGCUGAUGAAAUUCUAUCUGAAAAAAUAGUGAGAAGCCAAGAACUAUAAUAAUCAACUUCUGUAAAUCAGACAGUGGCAUUAAGGACAUACGCAACGUACCUUACCUACUGAUAAUUUUUCAAGAUAUUGUGAAUUUAAGAUUAUAGUGCCAUCAGAUAUUCGUAAACGAAAAAUCAGCAUGCAAUACCAGGGGUUUUGAAAAGAUAUCAAUUGAUGAAAAUUCUUGUAUAAUUCAAAGAAAAAUAUACAAAAAUUACUAAACAUAUAUUCUACACGUUUUGUCUAUCCAAACUUGUUUUAGAAGAAGUGUACAACAGCAUUUAUAGACAUUAAAAUGUAGCACACAGUUCCAUUAAGUAUCGGAACUCUUCAACUCCAAGGAAAAAGACAAUGAAGUUCAAACUACGUUGCGUAUGUCCUUAAUUAAAACCUGUGUGAUGAAGUGUGCCAAAUUCAUUGAUCACAUACAUGUACAUUUUUAAGUUAUCUUCUAUGUAGAUCUAAAAAGUAAUGUACAGAAUUUAAAGUGGACUUCAAGUGCUUUAUGUAUUGUACAUGAUUACAUAUGAGAUGUAUGAAAAUUCAAAUACAUACCUGCUCUUUUGUACAGUCUUAAAACUGUUCAUAUGAUUGUCCACAUAAUUGAUUUUGUCAAAUAAAUGAACACAUAUAUUUUA